rnacentral:rRNA from 1 species
GGCUAGGACGAACGCUGGCGGCGUGCCUAACACAUGCAAGUCGAGCGAGGAGAUCCUUCGGGAUGAUCCUAGCGGCGGACGGGUGAGUAACACGUGGGCAACCUGCCUCAUAGAGAGGAAUAGCCUUCCGAAAGGGAGAUUAAUACCUCAUAACAUUGCAGUUUCGCAUGGAACAGCAAUUAAAGGAGUAAUCCGCUAUGAGAUGGGCCCGCGGCGCAUUAGCUAGUUGGUGAGGUAACGGCUCACCAAGGCGACGAUGCGUAGCCGACCUGAGAGGGUGAUCGGCCACAUUGGGACUGAGACACGGCCCAGACUCCUACGGGAGGCAGCAGUGGGGAAUAUUGCACAAUGGGGGAAACCCUGAUGCAGCCAACGCCGCGUGAGUGAUGACGGCCUUCGGGUUGUAAAGCUCUGUCUUCAGGGACGAUAAUGACGGUACCUGAGGAGGAAGCCACGGCUAACUACGUGCCAGCAGCAGC